GAUGAACGCUGGCGGCGUGCCUAAUACAUGCAAGUAGAACGCUGAAGGAAGGAGCUUGCUCUUUCCGGAUGAGUUGCGAACGGGUGAGUAACGCGUAGGUAACCUGCCUGGUAGCGGGGGAUAACUAUUGGAAACGAUAGCUAAUACCGCAUAACAGUAGAUGUUGCAUGAUAUCUACUUAAAAGGUGCAAUUGCACCACUACCAGAUGGACCUGCGUUGUAUUAGCUAGUUGGUGAGGUAACGGCUCACCAAGGCGACGAUACAUAGCCGACCUGAGAGGGUGAUCCGCCAAACUGGGACUGGGACACGGCCCAGACUCCUACGGGAGGCAGCAGUAGGGAAUCUUCGGCAAUGGACGGAAGUCUGACCGAGCAACGCCGCGGGAGUGAAGAAGGUUUUCGGAUCGUAAAGCUCUGUUGUAAGAGAAGAACGAGUGUGAGAGUGGAAAGUUCACACUGUGACGGUAUCUUACCAGAAAGGGACGGCUAACUACGUG
rnacentral:rRNA from 1 species